CUUUUGGUUUUAAAAUCAAUGCGGAAAUGCCCAAUUUUUUUUUUUAAGCCUUGACCCCAGACGACGUCAGAUCCGCCACAAAUAUAGGGAAUCCACUGUUCACACGAGUAGAGGCUCCCCUAUAUUUGCACGGCAUCGUACAAGAACAAAAUACAACCACACAGUAUAAUAAUCCACAUACAAUCACCACAUCACAUUCAUUCCGUCACAAGUUUAUUUACCAUAUGAUAUUUAAAAUUCUACAUCUAUCAGUUUAAAAUAUUUUCCACUCGGAAACUUAUUUUGAAUACUAUGAUUCAUAAAAACCAAAAAACCCGUUUAAAAACUACUUCUCACACGGAAACCUUUUUCUUUAAAAACACGCUACCACGAGGGGUAGAAAAUCAUUUUCAUCUCUGAAGAAAACCAAAAGUACUUUAUUAUUUUCACAAAACAACAUGUGUCCAAA
rnacentral:lncRNA from 1 species